rnacentral:rRNA from 1 species
GAUGAACGCUGGCGGCGUGCUUAACACAUGCAAGUCGAACGGGAAAUAUUUCAUUGAGACUUCGGUGGAUCUGAUCUAUUUCUAGUGGCGGACGGGUGAGUAACGCGUGGGUAACCUGCCUUAUACAGGGGGAUAACAGUCAGAAAUGGCUGCUAAUACCGCAUAAGCGCACAGAGCUGCAUGGCUCGGUGUGAAAAACUCCGGUGGUAUAAGAUGGACCCGCGUUGGAUUAGCUAGUUGGUGGGGUAACGGCCCACCAAGGCGACGAUCCAUAGCCGGCCUGAGAGGGUGAACGGCCACAUUGGGACUGAGACACGGCCCAGACUCCUACGGGAGGCAGCAGUGGGGAAUAUUGCACAAUGGGGGAAACCCUGAUGCGGCGACGCCGCGUGAAGGAAGAAGUAUCUCGGUAUGUAAACUUCUAUCAGCAGGGAAGA